ensembl:lncRNA
GACCUUUAUAAUGUUACAAAAUAUUUAUUUUUCAAAUGUACGCUGUUCUUUUGAUAUUUUUAUGCAUCAAAGAACCCUGAAAAAUUAAAUGCAUCACAGUUUCCACAAAAAUAUUGAGCAACACACCUGUUUUCAUGACCUUUAUCAAAAAUAAUUUGCUAAUCAGCUCUAGACUUGUUUAUAGGGCUCUUGCAGGUUUUUCAGAUCAGUGUUUUGACUUCAAGCAGCAGAACAAGGAUUUGUGAAGAACUUUUCAUAUGACACCACGAGAACUUAAAUCGGUUCUUGGAAUCAGUGGAGCUUCUCUGAUGGAAUUAUAAGGUAUCAUAAAAUGGUUUUCUUGUAACCUCAUGCAGCUUUCAUUAUUUUUUGAGCAUUUAUACAGAAGACACUGAAGACACAGAACGAUAGUUUAUCUCUCACACACGCCCACAUCACACACAGCAUCUGUACUUGUGUAGAGGAUUCAGUAACACCAUAUUUUCUCUCUCUGUCUCUCUAUCUUUUUUACCUCUCCUCCCUCACGCUGAGAGGAGAGAACAGAAGUGUUGAGUGUGGAGAGAUGAAGAAUAUCUCAUCCUUGUGAAGCCGUCAGACACGCACUGUAAAGGAGAGCAGAGGGAGGGAAUCACUGAGCUUUCUCUGGACCAUCUGUAUAGCUCUUUGUCACCUGUCAAUGAAGGCUUGCAGCAGUGGCCUCCUCCUGGCUGUUACGAGCAGGAGCAGUGGUGGGCGUCAGGGGCCCGCUGAAUUCUGGGAACUGAGAGUUGUUUGGAGGGUCUCAACAGCUCCCCACUCCCUCUUGGCAGAACAUCACAGAGGAACUCAUGCAGCUCAAAUAUUUCUCCGUCAAAUGAUCUACAAAAACACAUCCCUCUGCGCACACAAAGGGAAGUAUGUGUGCUGGAGUUUGUGAGAAACAGCAAAUUAUUUCUGUGUUCUCGUAAAAAUGUACAGCAAAUACGGCAAUACUUUCAGAAUUAACGUCAUUGUCAAUGCACUUGAAAGACUCCAGUCUGGACAGACAUUUUAGCAUCUGUACAGCAAAAAAAAAAACAAAAAAAACAAAAACAAAAAAAAACAUGUUUCAAAAGAAUUGAUCUUUGUGGUAAAUACAAGAUAAUAAUGAAUACAUAAUUAAAAAUGUAUGUAAUGCACAAACUGAGACCGGAUAUACUGUAAUUAUUCAUGGAGGAUUAAUUUCAGAACCAAUGAAGGCAAACCCUUCUAACACCACACUUACACCAAUUAAUUACUUUUUUUUUCUUUUUUUUUUUUAAUGUGUUUCCACCUCUUAUUCACUUUCUUAAACAACCAAAAUGACCGUUUUAACCUCUCUGCUGCCCUCAUCAGUUCUGGAGUGCCAGUGGUUAUAUUACUACAUUUUUUUUUUUUUUAACUCAUUUGUGUUUAUUAAUUCAGAAUGCAACUGUGAAUUGUUAGACAUGGAUAAUUAUGUGAUCUUUCUAUAGUUUUUAUUUUAUUUUAUUUUAUUUUAUUUUAUUUUAUUUUAUUUUAUUUUAUUUUAUUCUUACUCCAUUGAGAAAAUGCUUACUGAUAAUCAACAUGGGCAAUAAUGUCACUGAUAUCACAAAAAAAUAAAAAGCAUUUAGAUUAUUUAUUUUUAUUAAUU